AAGCGCCCCCUCUCUAAGCAUGGCCGCCGCUGGAGCAGGUUCCUGCUCCAAGGACCCAGAGCGCUUCAGGAAGGCACUGGGAAGAAAGAAAUGGAUUCAAGGGACCUAGCACCGUAAUUAGCUUAGUUUUGGUUAAUUAAGGCUACUAAGGCCUCAGCCCCUCGUCUCCCACGGCUGAAAUUCCAUGGGAAUGCUGUGACCGAGACACGGAGCUCCAUCCUGGCAGGAGUUACUUGCUGACACCACUGCCCAGGCUCCCUCCGUGGUGAUGCAGAGGCAUCAUG